AUGAAACUUCUAAAGUCAGCUUGUCAUCUGUGCUGGUGGAGACACAAUGUGCACGUUGACAAGUUGCAAAUCCCACACACCUGUGCACCCAUGACUCUGAGUACCGCUUUGCAUGGGCCUCUUAAAGGGCCCUGGUACUCGAGUACUUUACAACACACUCUGAAUGUAACGGAAUGUCUAUUUGUACAAUGUACAACUAAAA
rnacentral:misc_RNA from 1 species